rnacentral:rRNA from 1 species
GACGAACGCUGGCGGCGCGCUUAACACAUGCAAGUCGAGCGAAGCGGCGGACGGGUGAGUAACACGUGAGUAACCUGCCUUAGACAUUGGGAUAGCCUCGGGAAACCCGGAUUAUUACCAAAUGGUCUAUUAUGUACUCGCGUCCCAUUAGCUAGUUGGUGGGUAACGGCCCACCAAGGCGACGAGGGGUAGCCGGCCUGUGAGGGUGAACGGCCACAUUGGAACUGAGAAACGGUCCAAACUCUACGGGAGGCAGCAGUGGGGAAUAUUGCACAAGGGAGUGAACUCUGAUGCAGCUACGCCGCGUGAACGAAGAAGGCUUUCGAGUCGUAAAGUUCUUUUAUAUGGGAAGCGGGACAAGAAGAAAAAGCCCCGGCUAACUACGUGCCAGCAGCCGCGGUAAUAG